rnacentral:rRNA from 1 species
GACAGAGGGGGCAAGCGUUGCUCGGAAUCACUGGGCGUAAAGCGCACGUAGGCGGCUUUUUAAGUCAGGGGUGAAAUCCUGGAGCUCAACUCCAGAACUGCCUUUGAUACUGGGAAGCUUGAGUCCGGAAGAGGUGAGUGGAACUCCGAGUGUAGAGGUGAAAUUCGUAGAUAUUCGGAAGAACACCAGUGGCGAAGGCGGCUCACUGGUCCGGUACUGACGCUGAGGUGCGAAAGCGUGGGGAGCAAACAGG